UUCAAUUUUCUGCCACCGAAUACAUUAGCAUGGGAUAAUGGAAUAGGACCCUGUCCUCCUAUUUUCAGUUGGUUUUGGCAGCGCGAGGACUAGGGUAAUGAUUAAUAGGGAUAGUUGGGGGCAUUAAUAUUUAAUUGUCAGAGGUGAAAUUCUUGGAUUUAUGAAAGAUUAACUUCUGCGAAAGCAUCUGCCAAGGAUGUUUUCAUUAAUCAAGAACGAAAGUUAGGGGAUCGAAGACGAUCAGAUACCGUCGUAGUCUUAACCAUAAACGAUGCCGACCAGCGAUUAGGAGACGUUGAAUACAAAACACCACCAUCGGCGCGGUCGCCCUUGGGGUGCGUGUGCUCGCGCGGGGGCGAGGGGGGGGUAUACCCCGGUGACAGCGGAGUAUGACUCCCCUAAAAGUUU
rnacentral:rRNA from 1 species